rnacentral:lncRNA from 7 species
GGAUAGGGUGAGCAGUCACUGCAGCCAGAAAAGCCCAGCACGGAGCAAAGGCAAUUACCUCCGCACGCAGAGACUUUGGAGCUGAAUUGUGCUGAACGGAGAACCCCUCCAGCUGGCAGAGCCAUGUGCGGCCGAGAAGAGCAGCCACUUUCGCUCCGCUGAAAAGCAAUGCAGGAACCCUCGUGGUGUACGGUGCUGCUGGGUGCAAUCAUUAAGGCAAUGAGCAAACGCUCUCCACUUGUUGUCCAACUUUGAAGACGGGCAGAUCUACAAGGUCCCCAGAAGCUCUGUUCCUAAAGCAGAAGUGCAAUAGUGCUCAAGGAGGAUUAAAGGACUAGGAUCGAGUACUUCCUAAAUACUGCUGCCUGCCCCUGUUCUAAACAACAGCUCAAAAAUAACAUACUUGCCUCUUCCGAGGGCUGUUCAAGAAGUAUAGGUAUGCACCCAAAAUAUAUCCAGAAGUUGAAAGAUCAGGCUCAACAUUUUGCAAAAAUAUUCCUACAGGGCAGUUUGACCUUCAGAAGAUACAGAACUGGCCCACGGUUCCUCUUUCUCUGAAGCUUUAGAAAAGAAUUCUGACAUAGGGCAUUUUGGUGGGUAGUUCAAUGCAAUGAACUUAAAAAAUAAGGCCAUGGAAGUACAACUACUGAUAAGCUCAGUGAUCAGUGACAGACUGCAAAACAGACAUCUGAUUUGCACAGAAACAUCUGGAGGGAGCUCCAAAUGCUCUGUGCUUGGUUCUGAGUCUCUGGGACUUGGCUCGUGGAAUUUUUAAUGUUCUUUUAAUCUCUUUUGAACAUAAAUAAGAGGGGAAGAGCAUGUGAACUUAACGAGUGUUUGCUUCAACAACAGCUUCAGAGACAUGUACACUUUCUGAACAUAACUUUAACAUUACAUUUCAUAUCCAUUUCACCUAGCCCUGGCAAGGCUAAGCCCCUGGGGUCCUAUUCACAAAUACUCAUGGCAGCCAGCGAGGGAAGGAUUCCAAGUCAGGAGGAACAUCAUAUCCCUGGUGUGUCAGUCAGUACUUUGUUCAGAGGGAAAGACGACGAAGCAAGACAGAAGGCUGCUGAAAACACAGAUGCUCACAUUUCUCCCACUAGAAACAGAACAAGAAUUUAUUUUCUUUUAUCAUAAAUCACAGGUUUUCUCUUAACGCUAUGCUUUAGACCUUCAGUCAGGGCUUAUGGCAGUAUAGAAACGCAUGCUCAAGUAAAUAUAAACUAUCUGGU